AAUCUGACAGCUGUCUUAAUAGUAUAGAACGAUCAUAAAGGUUACAUGCAAAGAAUAUAUGGUUAAGAUCAGCGGGAUCAGCUCCACAAGUACAUGCAGAACUGGCCACGCGAUUUAGUAGUUUGAGGUGUUCCGGUGUACAUACGUGACCCAAUCUCAUUCGAAUUAACAUACUAGUUGCAGGUUUUGGCAGAGAGAUUUUAGCAAACCAAGGAUUCCAAAGCACUCACCACUGUACACAGAGGAUUCUGGUGGCAACUUUAUUUUUUGGUAAAUAUUAGAUUGGGUGUGGAGAACACCAACGCCAACACAACCAUUCUCUGACGUCUUAGAAGCAUCUGUGUACAUAUGAUGAGCACCCAGGCCAUCUGUUCCAAUGAAUUCCAGGAAUUGUUGAUUUUGUUCAACAUCAUUCUUGGAGACUCCAAUAUUGAGGAGAACUGGAGGAAUAAGUGUCAGAGAAUCAUAUUCAUAUUGGAAAAUGGGAAGUGUUGAAGAGCUAACAGUGGGAGCUGAUAUAGAUUUAAGUUUUUGAAAGCUUUUUACUAAACAAGGAGGACUUUUGUGUUUCCAAUAGUUGGAAGUAGUUAUUUGAAGCACAAGGUUAGACAGGAUAAUCCAGAGUUGGUGAUUAGAGAAUUGGGAACAACGGAAAAUAAAUCUAUCACUAAGAUAUUGGCGUCGUAAAUGAAGUGGAGGCUCAACACACUCAACUUGCAUGGCAUUGAUAGGGCUUGAAUUCAUGGCCCCACAAAUCAAUCUGAGUGCUUUGGAUUGAAUACGAUCUAGUUUUUGGAAGCCAGCUACAUAUCCUGGCUCUAACAAAAAUGUCCCAUAAUCUAAAAUACUUCUUAUCAAGGCAUUAUACAUGAGUUUCAUGCAAAAAGGAUGUGAACCCCACCAAACUCCUGAAACGCACCUGAGGAUA